rnacentral:rRNA from 1 species
UACGUAGGCAGCGAGCGUUGUUCGGAAUUAUUGGGCGUAAAGGGUGCGUAGGCGGUUUGGUAAGUCUCUUGUGAAAUCUAUGGGCUCAACUCAUAGUCUGCAAGGGAAACUGCCGGGCUUGAGUGUGGGAGAGGUGAGUGGAAUUUCCGGUGUAGCGGUGAAAUGCGUAGAUAUCGGAAGGAACACCUGUGGCGAAAGCGGCUCACUGGACCACAACUGACGCUGAUGCACGAAAGCUAGGGGAGCAAACAGG